CACGUCAGCGCGCUUUGCUGACGUGGCAGAAAAUCGUGUCCACUAGGGGGCGAUUUGAUGCCACGUCAGCAAAGCGCUCUGACGUGG
rfam:Gossypium raimondii Chr09_contig_1009, whole genome shotgun sequence.